ACGUAGUUGGCCGCACCUUCUUCUGGAGGUACCGUCAUUUUCUUCCCUCCUGAAAGCGGUUUACAACCCUAGGGCCUUCUUCCCGCACGCGGCAUCGCUGCAUCAGGCUUUCGCCCAUUGUGCAAGAUUCCCC
rnacentral:rRNA from 1 species